rnacentral:misc_RNA from 1 species
AAUUUCAUAAAAGAGACUGUUUGACGCUUUCAUAGCUUGAUAGGAAGCGACUGCCCUAGCAAGAGGGGCACGGGCUGCUCGUAUCCGGAGCCAUGGAGUGUCCAGGCUCCGCUGCCGUAACCAGUCGAGGACUUUACCGUCGGUGGCUCUUGCCCGGACGGUCACCGGAAGCCGCACGGUGCCCGCGAGGAACUGCGACUGAAGCACGCAACGGUAGUGACAAACCCAGUUCAGAAAGAAAGGUACGCUGCCGUGGUUGAUGACAACGAGUGCAAAGGUCACAGCAUCGUCGGCGACCUGGCGUCGCGCCGUGUCCCCAGUUGUUGUUGUUGUUGUGCUGACCAGGGGCUCUGAGAGCGCAGCUGCUCCAGCACCUGCGCGACCGUCAUUCGCGUCGGGAACACGCAGCCCGGUGCUAGGCGAGCGCACCAGGUACGAAGUCACCCAGAGGCAACAGAGAAGCAAGCCAGCAAUAGCAGCGCCCCUGGAUAGAUAGCGAGCGAGGCGGCGGAGCAGUGACUCCACACGUUUUCCUCCACGCAUAUGUUGAAAGAGCAUUCCAUGCGCAUCAUCUAAUGCGGAAGUUGGAACGGUAGUGAUGCAGGUUCAUGGAUAAAGCGCUCAUUUCCACGCCUGUUCAGCUCGUCCAGCUGUCCGGGCAAGCAUGACAUGUGGACAAGCUCGUGGAGUAUCGAUUCCGCUACAUACAUGUCAGGCAGGCUAUACCUGCCGAGCUGCAACAGGCUUUGGGAGCGUACACCAUGCAUUGCUGUAGAUAUGCGCAUUCGUUUUAGCGUACAUCAGAGCGUCUAGGUUCUCUGUGCGACGAGCGAUCGGACGGAGGCUGUCGAAAAGGUAUUGCCUUUGACUGGUGCCGUUGCUGUGUAUGCGAGCAUCGGUUCGUCACAUCGCAACCGUAUCGCGCCUAGGCGUGGCAUCACGCCGGUAUCCCAUCCCCGAAACGCUUGCUUCGAACCGCAAUCUUCAUAAUGGGAGAGUUUAGCCCAAGUUCACUGGCAACGCGAUCGCCCGCGGUUGACAUGACAGCAUCCUCAUUUUUCUUGUGAAUGUGAGUCCACAUGACGUAACUUGCUGCCCAUGGUCAGGUGCUGGGCGGACUGGAUGCGCUGGUGGUGCGAGUCUGUCUCGCGAAUCAUGGUGUACUGAUGCGAACGAACAUCGAAUAACGGAGCAUCAUUAUCGCUCGCUUGUUGGCAAAGAACAUCGUCUUCAGAGCAUACCCAAGCCGCUCUCGCAUUGCGGGAUUUCCCAACCGCACCAUACCAGUGCCUUGCUCCAGUCUGGAAUCCAACUCCCUCUCUGCUGACCACUGAGUUUUCCAUCGAGCGUCAUCAGCGUUUCAGCAGCGCACCGAUACUGAGUACUGAACGACUGCGUCGAAAGCUCGCUCGACUCAAACCAAGACUCGCUUCCGCGUGUUGAUCGAGCGGCUCAAGUCGUAGUAUGGAAAGAGCCUGGGCGCCUAGGUGCUGGCACAUUCGCACCAAACGAGGUCACCGAACUUUGACGCUGUCGCCAUCUGACGUUCGUUCGGCGUCCCGUACACCACCUGGUGCAUUGGUCUCUGUUUCAGGCUCUACGAGGUCACCGAACUUUGACGCUGUCGCCAUCUGACGUUCGUUCGGCGUCCCGUACACCAUCCCGUGCAUUGAUCUCUGUUUCAUGCUCUUUUUCUUCUCGAACUGGAUUAGGCUGAACCCCAGUUCGUGAUACUUGUAUGUUGUCGUGCAUUCGUCGACGGGAUCUGUACGGAAUCGAUUCUUGUGCCUGUCGCACGCUCGCAUCGAAGGAGCACGAGUGCAGCCCGUGUGCUCCAAAAGCACACCCCGUACCAGAGGUUUCAGGCAUACCGCGCGCCUCGUCGAUGAUUCCCGUUUCCGACGCACCGAACUAGGCGGUGUGGAUGUACGCUCCUUGGCUCCGCACAAUCGAUGCCAUUGGCGACAGCAGCACGGUGUCAUGUACCUGUGUCGAAAAGCGUCCGCGUGCUGCAUUCGGACGCUCGUAUAGGCGCUCUGAGUGCACUGCACGAAGCAUCCGCCGCUGCUCGAUAGGAUGCUUUGAUUGCCGAGAUAGCCCCUGAGGUAGUCACUGCACCUGCUGGUACGCCUCCUGGUGUGUGUGUGGUGCACGACGCCCGCUGGUACCGAGUCGUGGAGCAGGCUGAGCAGCGACACCUGCUCGCGGUGCUGAUCGCCGGUUCUGCCCCGCUGGGCUGGAGGCACGGCGGCAGUCGUGACGCACUCGAACUCGGGAUCCACGCCCGCCCUGAAUACUUGCUCUUCAUCUAUCUCUAUGGGCGUAAAUCGAGU